rnacentral:misc_RNA from 1 species
UGUUAUAGCUUUGUUGACAUUAAUAAUCUACCGCAAGGCCCAUCAGCGAGAUGGUGGGGAGGACAAUAUGAAAGGAACCAAGGAAAAGAAAGGUUUGUCUUUAUCUGAUAUAGAAUGUGGACAAGACACUAGAGAACACAGCGUGCCAGUAUCAACGGUUCAAAAUGAGUCAUUAUCUUCAUCUGUAUCUGUCAUGUCAUCUGCCAAUCUCUCGCCUUCUAAGGUUCAAGAUCAAUCCAAAA